rnacentral:lncRNA from 1 species
CUGACUUAUGGGAAGCCUCUUGAUUCAGGGAAGACUCAUGUCUCAAAGGUGGAAAGCUAGAAGUCCAAAAAGUUAAAAUUCAAAGUGGAAAAGAUCGCUGAGUUCAUCUUCUAGCUGUUUUGGAAUAUUCGGUGGAGAAGAACCUUUAUUUUGGAAGAAAGAUGAACAAACUGGAUGCAACCAAUACAGAUUUGAUUUACUUCAGGGGGACAAUGACAAAUUUGAGGACAGAAGGCUCAUGAAAUGGCAAAGUUUCUGAUUUUAAUGAAAGGAAGAAAAUGUAAAAGGAGUCCAGCUGUGCCUGCGCAGACCUUGGAUGUUCAGCAUGUCAUCUCCACAGAGGCACAGACAUGGCACCUUCCCUGCCUGGCUCCAAGACCUCAGCCUGGAUGCAUCUCCCAGCCCUCCUCUGGCCUGUAUUGCUCAGUCCCAGGCUCUGGACACUUCAAGAGGGAUUUCCUGUCCUGGGGUCAAGGACUCUCACAUCCAAAGAGACAGAGGCCUUGCUGGCAGCUCGUUGAACCAAAAUCACUCCAGAAACAAGCUGUGCUAAUACAAGAACAAAGAAAGUCUUUAUUUACAAGAUCUGAAUGUAAAAAAAUGUUCAUAAAGCAGGUGUAGAGAAAAGAAGGGAACUAUGCUUAUUUUAAAGGUGUUUUUUCAUUCUCUGUUGACAAGUUGACAGGCAGUUUAUGCGCUUAUUUUAGCACAUGGCUGUGAACUAGUACUUUUUGUCCUUUAUUUUGUAGUCGCUGAAAAAAAUCUUAGCUCUCUGUAAUUCCUUUAAAGCUUAAUUCCUACAUUUCAGUUCAUUCUCUGGAUAAAUUGACUUGCUUCAAGAAAAAAAAGUAUGAAAAACAAAGUAGAACACCCCUGGCAUGUAAAGUUUUCAGUGUUAUGUUUGCCCUUUACAUUUUUAUGAAUCAAGCAAUGUGACAACCAUGCUUUACACAAUCAAAGAGGAUUAAUGCAGAAAGUUUCACAUCAUUUUUGAGCUGAGACUAGGGAAAGAUGAAAAAAUUAUGUCAGGUGAGAAAAGGUUAGGAACCAAUAGAAUGUUCACUGAGGGCUACCUUAACUCAGUCUCUUUGGACUCCAUUAAAAAAACUAUUUUUAAAAAUUACUGUAUAUUGGCCUGCUGUAGCUGUGUCUGCCACCAUAAAGUUCUGUGAGAAGUGGAAUUUUUCAACUGAGUUAUUCACCUAAUUUUCUGGAAAGUGACUGAAUAUUCACCAAAAUCCUGGGGAAAACAGGAAUCCCCUUAAGUUCUUGUUAAUUUGCUUUUAUACACUUCUGGAUGGCAUCCAUUGGUGAUGUAGUAUUGAAUAACAGCAUAGUAAUGAUGUUUGAC